rnacentral:rRNA from 1 species
UACGGAGGGGACUAGCGUUGUUCGGAAUUACUGGGCGUAAAGCGCACGUAGGCGGAUUUGUAAGUCAGGGGUGAAAUCCCGGGGCUCAACCUCGGAACUGCCUUUGAUACUGCAAAUCUCGAGUCCGGAAGAGGUGGAGUGGAAAUUCCUAGUGUAGAGGUGAAAUUCGUAGAUAUUAGGAAGAACAACCAGUGGCGAAGGCGGCUCACUGGUCCGGUUACUGACGCUGAGGUGCGAAAGCGUGGGGAGCA